GCUAAACCCUAUCCGGUUUAGCACUGACAAGUUGGCUGCAAUGGAUCGCAUUGUUCCAUCCAACCUUGACGUCCCCAUGGGGAAUCGCUCAAAGAAACGGAAGGUGGCACAUGGAACCACGGCUGUGGUCUCCAAAGGAAAGAAGGCCCGCCUUGAGGCACUUCAAACUCCAGCAAGGAUUGCCAAACCUUCGAAGCUGGUACCUCCCCCUCGACCUGUGCCAGAAGCUGCUGUACCAGCCACUCUGGAGGGCAGCGUCUUUGUGCCUUCGAGCAAGGUAAUUUGCAUUCAACAUGUGAUGAUUACACACAUUCAGUGAAUAGAGUGCGGUUCUCUAUUCUUUUGAUAUUUUCUCUAAGUUCCCUUUAAGAAAGUGUAGUUUUGUGUUUCCAUUUCUCAAUUGUAAUGUACAUAUAAUUCUUACUAUGUCAUUACAGUUUGCUCAACCGGAGGGGGAU